GGGAAAGGUAACUCCUUUGGGAGCUUGAUAGAUAUUGGUGCUUCUUUUUCAAGGCCAGAUAUUUCUGUACACAUUCCAAAUAAAUAUAUUGAGAGGAAAAGAGAGAGAGAAUGUAUACAAGUCAAAAGGUCUGUUCAGAAAAAUGCAAGAGUACAUAAAAGGCAUCAAAACGACUUUCAACAAGUAUACAGCCACUAAAAUACCCUCUUCUCAGGGAAGUACAAGUCUGAUGCCCACAUAAUAAUGUAGACUCGCCUUUGAACUCCUUGUAGCACAGUUUAUACUCAGAAAAGGUUAUCAACAUGUUAUACCCUCAAGGACGAACAAAAACAAAUUUAUAACAAUAAUAAUUAAUAAUAGCAGCAGUUGUAGUGAUAAAGUACAAU
rnacentral:misc_RNA from 1 species